rnacentral:tRNA from 2 species
GCCGAAGUGGCGGAACUGGCAGACGCGCACGACUCAAAAUCGUGUGGGCUUACGCCCUUGUGGGUUCGAUUCCCUCCUUCGGCA